UACGGAGGAUGCAAGCGUUAUCCGGAAUGAUUGGGCGUAAAGCGUCCGCAGGUGGCUAUGUAAGUCUGCUGUUAAAGAGUGAGGCUCAACCUCAUAAGAGCAGUGGAAACUACAUGGCUAGAGUGCGUUCGGGGCAGAGGGAAUUCCUGGUGUAGCGGUGAAAUGCGUAGAGAUCAGGAAGAACACCGGUGGCGAAAGCGCUCUGCUAGGCCGCAGCUGACACUGAGGGACGAAAGCUAGGGGAGCGAAUGGG
rnacentral:rRNA from 1 species